GUGAGGAAUUUUCCGCAAUGGGCGAAAGCCUGACGGAGCAAUGCCGCGUGAAGGAUGAAGGCCUAUGGGUUGUAAACUUCUUUUCUCAGAAAAGAAUUAUGACGGUAUCUGAGGAAUAAGCAUCGGCUAACUCUGUGCCAGCAGCCGCGGUAAGACAGAGGAUGCAAGCGUUAUCCGGAAUGAUUGGGCGUAAAGCGUCUGUAGGUUGUUUAAAAAGUCUUCUGUCAAAGAUUAGGGCUUAACCCUAGAUAGGCAGAAUAAACUUUUAAGCUAGCGUUUGGUAGAGGCAGAGAGAAUUCCCGGUGGAGCGGUGAAAUGCGUAGAGAUCGGGAGGAACACCAAAGGCGAAGGCACUCUGCUGGGCCAAUACUAACACUGAGAGACGAAAGCGAGGGGAGCAAAUGGGAUUAGAUACCCGUGUAGUCC
rnacentral:rRNA from 1 species